UACAGAGGGGGCAAGCGUUGUUCGGAAUUACUGGGCGUAAAGGGCGCGUAGGCGGCCUGCUAAGUCGAACGUGAAAUCCCUGGGCUCAACCCAGGAACUGCGUCCGAUACUGGUUGGCUUGAAUCCGGGAGAGGGAUGUGGAAUUCCAGGUGUAGCGGUGAAAUGCGUAGAUAUCAAGAGGAACACCUGAGGUGAAGACGGGUUGCUGGGCCAACACUGACGCUGAGGCGCGAAAGCCAGGGGAGCAAACGGG
rnacentral:rRNA from 1 species